rnacentral:rRNA from 6 species
AGUUUUUGAACGCAAGUUGCGCCCGAAGCCAUCCGGUUUAGGGCACGUCUGCCUGGGCGUCACGC